GAUGAACGCUGGCGGCGUGCCUAAUACAUGCAGGUCGAGCGAACGGACGAGAAGCUUGCUUCUCUGAUGUUAGCGGCGGACGGGUGAGUAACACGUGGAUAACCUACCUAUAAGACUGGGAUAACUUCGGGAAACCGUAGCUAAUACCGGAUAAUAUUUUGAACCGCAUGGUUCAAAAGUGAAAGACGGUCUUGCUGUCACUUAUAGAUGGAUCCGCGCUGCAUUAGUUAGUUGGUAAGGUAACGGCUUACCAAGGCAACGAUGCAUAGCCGACCUGAGAGGGUGAUCGGCCACACGGGAACUUAGACACGGUCCAUACUCCUACGGGAGGCAGCAGUAGGGAAUCUUCCGCAAUGGGCGAAAGCCUGACGGAGCAACGCCGCGUGAGUGAUGAAGGUCUUCGGAUCGUAAAACUCUGUUAUUAGGGAAGAACAUAUGUGUAAGUAACUGUGCACAUCUUGACGGUACCUAAUCAGAAAGCCACGGCUAACUACGUG
rnacentral:rRNA from 1 species